ACUGACUCAGUCGUGAAAUGUAAAAUAAAAUAUUUCAUCGAUUGCAAUCAUUUGUUUUACUCUCUUCAUUUUCAAAGUAGGGAACCUAAAGGACUGCCCAUCGACACACCAGAGGACAAUGUGUCUGAUCCUAACAGUGGGAGCAAGAGUCUGGUUCUUCCUACAUCUGUGAUUAUACUUGUAGCUGUUGUUGCUGUUGUUGUUGUAAUUAUGAUGAUAGCAGUAGCAGUAGCAGUAGUAUACUUGAAACGAAAGAAGUCAUCCCGUUCAGAUGGUGACUUCAGGGACAAUCAGAAUCUAGAAAUGACAGGAUUUUUAAUCACAGCAGAUACAAGUAAGUAAUCAAAAUGUCAACCAUAACUGAUUUAAACUGUAUUUAUAACAGAAAACCAAAUUAAGUCAUUGAUGGAGGUGUCUUUUUUAUAAACUCAGCUACAAGUGCAAAUACCUAGAAGACUGAUUAAAUCUUUAAUGAAUAUAUUUGUCAUUAUGUUUUUCAGGGCAAACACAGGUACGUUCAUAUUUCCUGUUUCUUGUUGCCCGUUUCUUUACAUAACAUAGUGCAAUCUGUUGAUAAAUACUGACUUUGAUUCUUCUUUUAAUAGGCAUCACAAGCUGAAAAUGGAAACAUGCUUCCACAUAAAUCAGAUACAGGUAAGUAAUCAUAAAAUUAACAUAUAUAUAUAUAUAUAAUUGAGGGGGUGCAGUGGCGCAGUGGGUUGGACCAC
rnacentral:lncRNA from 1 species